rnacentral:rRNA from 1 species
UACGAAGGGUGCAAACGUUGCUCGGAAUCAUUGGGCGUAAAGCGCACGUAGGCGGCGCAGUAAGUCGGACGUGAAAUCCCUCGGCUCAACCGAGGACGUGCAUCCGAAACUACUGUGCUCGAGUAUGGAAGAGGGUCGCGGAAUUCUCGGUGUAGAGGUGAAAUUUGUUGAUAUCUUGAAGACUGAUAAAGGCGAAAGCAACCUUUUAUCUAAUAACUGACGUUGAGGGACGAAGGCUCGGGUCACGAACAGG